rnacentral:piRNA from 1 species
UCUGGGCUGUGAAACAGAGGAUCAAGGAU